AGCGAGGCAGGCGAUAGCAUGGUACAUUGGACACAUCGCUCCGAUGUAAACAAGAAGCAUGGCUACCUCCAACGUACACACACCAACUAUUAUAGUAACCAUAAUGCUGACGGACGCGAAGGAGCUUUUGUGGGAAUUCAAAGAGAAAACAACCUAAAAAAUGGGCUUAAUCAUAGCAGCAUCUGUGUCACUUCUUCAUCUUAAGAAAAGGAGAAAAAGAGGAGGAACUA